GCCUCCUCCUCCCAGCACCAUUCGCCCACCGUUAAAAAAAAACAAACAGGUCCACUCUCCUGUGUCGGCAUCGCAGCCCCCUCUCCGCCGGCGACUGCGCCGGCUACCCCCGCCAGCGACCACUGACUCCCGGGAAACCCAGAUCCGCUCAAAGGCACUCACUCUCCUCCACCGCAUCGACCCGCCGGAAGAAACGAGUGCGGCCGGCGACCUGAGCCUCCUCGCCCCGGCAGCGGCGAGCCUUCUUUCCCCCUCCCCCGAUUCGAACGAGGUGAGCCUUCAUCCUCCCCCUUCUCUCCCGAUUCAUUCUUCAUCUCUUAUCAUCUCGCGGGAAUAGACCCUAGGUAGAGUAGCUAGGGUCUCCUCCCUAAUUCAACUCUACCUACAUGUACUCACUCAGCUGAGGAGACUCCAAUACUCUGAUAAUGGAUGCUUCCGAGGAGAUUUCCCAGCGGCUACGUCCGGAGAAGAAACCGUGUGCGGAUGGCGAGUCGCAGCAGCAUUCGCCGCCGGCAUCCAUGGUGCCGGUAUCCAAGGUGCUCGACGACGACAACCUCCUCAUUGAGAUCCUCCUCCGCGUCAGCUUCCCCACCACGCUUGUAUGCGCCGCACUCGUCUGCAAGCGCUGGCUCUGCCAUGCCUCUGACCCUAAGUUCCUCAGCCUUUUCCGCAAGCGCCACCCGCCUCGCCUCCUUGGCUUCUACAUAUAUAUGGGGUCGGCCUGGUUAUGGUUGGGCGCCCCCCUGCUCUUCGUCCCGAUGCAGCCCCAGCCCCCAGAGCUUGCCCCCUUCAUCUCCCGUGUCGCGAGCCAUAGCUUCGGUGCCGACAAUGACAGAUUAUGCAUCAUGGAUUGCCGGAAUGGCAGCGUCUUAAUCAGAUGCCGCAGAGGAAAAAUAUUGACACAUGGAGUGCACCGCCCACUAUGCGCUCAGAGAGGCAUGGAUGACAUCCCGCCACUCCCAAGAGCCCAGUACCAUGGUCAACAAAUUUUCAAUACAAUCCUCUCCAAAGAAGAAGGUGGUGUCUUGUCCUACCUGUAUAUGUUGGCCGAGUUUUUCAGGAAGACAAAAAGUUUCAGGGUGCGUGUGUAUACGUUGCAAGGGGGCCUCUGGUGCAUGCAUGCCUCGGCCACGACUCAGCUCCCUCGACUGCUGACAUCAUUGGAAGUUGUGCUCAUUGACGAUAAAAUCUAUAUGGCUGACACCUUCAGUGAUGAAAUUAUUGUCUUGGAUAUGACAACCUCGGGUUUCUCCACAAUUCGGCUCCCACAAGGAGUGAUUUUUCACUGCGUUCGCACCAUCAUGUCACGCGCCGGUGAUGCUUCUGCUGUAUAUCUCACCCAUAUCCAUGUCAAGGAGCUACAACUUUGCAUCUGGCUCCACAAAGGGGACAACUGGUUGUUGGUUGAUACAAUUUGUUUGCAUCAGAUGUGGGAUAAUUUGAGGAUGCUAGAUCAGACCCUUGAGGAUGAGCAUAUUAGUUUUACUUGUAUAAGCAAUGUGGGGGAUAAUGCUGAAUUUGUGUUCUUGGAAAUGUGUGGCUGCAUUUUCUAUCUGGAUGUCAACAGCAAGACACUGCGGAAAGUGCAUGGGGUGACAGUAAAGGACCGACAGUUCAAUGAUGUCUAUCCUUUUAUGAUGAUUUGGCCGCCCAUAUUCCCUGCGCCCAAGGAUGAUCCUGCAAGAAAUGCCAUGUGAAGGAGGAUGAUAUCAGGAAGUUUUUGGAUGGUCAGCGACAAGGGUGAGCAGAGAGCUGCAUUUCCUUGGCUGCAGUUCUUACCAUCUUCACUGUAACUCAUAGUGUAUUAGUUGAGGUGAUGUAUAACUGGAGCAGUUCUACAUUGGCGCCGGCAAUUGGCUGGUAUUAUUAAUUGAGCAAAUUUGAGUGGGACUACACUCUGGAUAAGGUCAAUUAAGGAUGAUCUACUCUUUGUAAAUGACUUUGAGCUUGCCUCUGGCUCCGCCUCUCCGAUUAAGCAGCUUGGAACAGAAAAUGCCAUGUAAAGAACAAGGACACGAGGAAGUUCCUAGUGAGCCCAUAUUUCCUCUGUAGCUGGUAGCAGAACCUGUAUUGUAUUAGAGUUGAGAACCAACAUUAUCUGCACAUAAUGUGCUUCCUAGGAUUGUAUCCUACCAGUUACUAAUUCGUGAUUUAUCUAAGGUUUCUAUGUUUUGUAUAUCA